UACGUAGGGCGCAAGCGUUAUCCGGAAUUAUUGGGCGUAAAGAGCUCGUAGGCGGUUUGUCGCGUCUGCCGUGAAAGUCCGGGGCUCAACUCCGGAUCUGCGGUGGGUACGGGCAGACUAGAGUGAUGUAGGGGAGACUGGAAUUCCUGGUGUAGCGGUGAAAUGCGCAGAUAUCAGGAGGAACACCGAUGGCGAAGGCAGGGCGCUGGGCAUUAACUGACGCUGAGGAGCGAAAGCAAGGGGAGCGAACAGG
rnacentral:rRNA from 1 species